rnacentral:rRNA from 1 species
UGUUCCUGGGUCUUGUACUCACCGCCCGUCAACUCAUGAAAGGCAGGGGCACCCGAAGAUCCGUUACCCGUAAGGGGCGGGGCCACGGUGAAACUGCUGAUUGGGAGU